GACAAGAACUGUUCUUCAUAAAACUUCAUCAGAAACUUGCCAUAUCAACUUUGGUUCCCCAAAUGCACCUGCUUCUUGAAAUCCACAGGAAAGGAGUCUGUUAAGUCAACUUAAGCAAGACGAUAAAUAAUCAAAGUAAAUUCUGGCUUCUCAAGAUGAACUCUCUUGCCUUCAGUCCUCAUGAGAUACUGCUUGGUACGAUACUUGUACACCCAGCUGAGUGGUACCACUUUUGUUCAGCAUUCCACCUUGACUCUGACUCCCAGUUUCCACCUACAUCUGAAAGGACAGAAUGGCAGCUAAAGCCUGAAGAAAGUCGAAUGACAAAAGAGAGUCAAUAAAGCCUGCAAGGAAUGAAAGCUUGGUAUACUGCUAACCUCAGCAACUACAAUAUUUUCAUCACACAUGUUAUAGAAACUGUAUUUCAAUUGGAGGCCUCGCACUUCAGAAUUUGAAUUUUAAACAUUUAAUGCUUAACAUUCAUCAGUAACUUGUAAAAUCUCAAAGAACUACAAUAACACAAUGCAAGUAUUUAUAGCAAAGAUUUAUGAAGAAAGAACCUUGAAGACUCAGUGCAAAAUAACAUGGGGAUUUUCACACCUGUAUCAUCG